rnacentral:rRNA from 1 species
UACGGAGGGUGCAAACGUUGCUCGGAAUCAUUGGGCGUAAAGCGCACGUAGGCGGCCUGUUAAGUCGGGUGUGAAAGCCCUGGGCUCAACCCAGGAAGUGCACUCGAAACUGGCGGGCUUGAAUAUGGAAGAGGGUCGCGGAAUUCCCGGUGUAGAGGUGAAAUUCGUAGAUAUCAGGAGGAACACCGGCGGUGUAGACGGCUUUCUGGACCGUAGCUGACGCUGAGACACGAAAGCGUGGGUAGCAAACAGG